GAGUUUGAUCCUGGCUCAGGACGAACGCUGGCGGUAUGCUUAACACAUGCAAGUCGAACGAGAAGGAAGAGCUUGCUCUUCCUGAAAGUGGCGAACGGGUGAGUAACGCGUGGGUAACCUACCCUUUGGAAAGGAAUAGCCUCGGGAAACUGGGAGUAAUGCCUUAUAAGAUACGUUUGUCGCAUGGCAUUUGUAUUAAACGCUCCGGCGCCAUAGGAUGGACCCGCGUCCCAUUAGCUAGUUGGUGAGAUAACAGCUCACCAAGGCCACGAUGGGUAACCGGUCUGAGAGGGCGAACGGUCACACUGGAACUGAGACACGGUCCAGACUCCUACGGGAGGCAGCAGUGGGGAAUAUUGCGCAAUGGGGGCAACCCUGACGCAGCAAUACCGCGUGAGUGAAGAAGGUUUUCGGAUCGUAAAGCUCUGUUAUUGGGGAAGAAAAAAAGACGGUACCCAAGAAGAAAGUUCCGGCUAACUACGUGCCAGCAGCCGCGGUAAUACGUAGGGAACAAGCGUUGUCCGGAUUUACUGGGCGUAAAGGGCACGCAGGCGGUUUUUUAAGUCAGAUGUGAAAGGCCACAGCUCAACUGUGGACAUGCAUUUGAAACUGAAAGACUUGAGUAUUGGAGAGGCAAGUGGAAUUGAGUUUGAUCCUGGCUCAGGACGAACGCUGGCGGUAUGCUUAACACAUGCAAGUCGAACGAGAAGGAAGAGCUUGCUCUUCCUGAAAGUGGCGAACGGGUGAGUAACGCGUGGGUAACCUACCCUUUGGAAAGGAAUAGCCUCGGGAAACUGGGAGUAAUGCCUUAUAAGAUACGUUUGUCGCAUGGCAUUUGUAUUAAACGCUCCGGCGCCAUAGGAUGGACCCGCGUCCCAUUAGCUAGUUGGUGAGAUAACAGCUCACCAAGGCCACGAUGGGUAACCGGUCUGAGAGGGCGAACGGUCACACUGGAACUGAGACACGGUCCAGACUCCUACGGGAGGCAGCAGUGGGGAAUAUUGCGCAAUGGGGGCAACCCUGACGCAGCAAUACCGCGUGAGUGAAGAAGGUUUUCGGAUCGUAAAGCUCUGUUAUUGGGGAAGAAAAAAAGACGGUACCCAAGAAGAAAGUUCCGGCUAACUACGUGCCAGCAGCCGCGGUAAUACGUAGGGAACAAGCGUUGUCCGGAUUUACUGGGCGUAAAGGGCACGCAGGCGGUUUUUUAAGUCAGAUGUGAAAGGCCACAGCUCAACUGUGGACAUGCAUUUGAAACUGAAAGACUUGAGUAUUGGAGAGGCAAGUGGAAUU
rnacentral:rRNA from 1 species